UUGCAUUAGGUAUUAGAAAUAAUCCAGAGAAGAUUUAAAGUACACGGAGGAUGUGCGUAGGCGAUAUGCAAAUAUUACGCCAUUUUAUAUCAGGGACUUGAGCAUUCCGGAUUUGGUAUCAGCACAGGUCCUGGAACCAAUUCCCCAAGGAUGUGGAAGGAGGACUGUGUCAUUCAGGAAAAAGUACAAUCCUCUGCGGUGCUGCCCCCAGCUCCCCGCCUUCACCACUGCGCCUGCGCCUCCGAGAACGGACUACAACUCCCAGGAUGCACCGCGCCCGCCACCGCCCUGGCAGCCCGACUUCCUGCUGGGCGUUUCCUGUGGCUUGGGGCUCCGCCCAGUAUGGGGAAAGUUUAAGGCGGAAGGGCCCUCGUUUGUCGGCUGCUUGGGAAGGUAUUGGGAACAGCUUAUGUUUUUCUUUCACAAAAAAGCAGCAGGCACCACAGAGAGAGACGGCUGUCUAGUUUUCUGUUGGGCACAGACCUUGCUUCUCUGAACCGGGAGAGAGGUGUUUGCCCCUCACUGCGGGGGCCCAGCACAGGUGGUUCCUGCUGGCUCUUGUCCUUGGUCACAUCGUCCUUGGAGUUGUAGGAAUCCCUCCCAGACUGUGGGAUAGGCUGACAAUCUUGGAUAUUAUUGUAGUGGUGAAUGUUUUCUCUUUAAGGGAUUUCAGUGGGAAAUUUAGAGGAACGUAGAGGAGGCUGUUGGGUAUUUUACCCUGCGUGCUUCCUUUAGAGAUUGUUCUGAGCUGUGUACUUUGUAAUCCUUGGGCCCGGGAUUCUUAUCAUGUUCUUUUCACUGGUUUUUGUUAAUGUGUUUGUUCUGAAGACAGUAUCCUGGGGGAAUGAGACAUCUCCUUAAGGCGCCGCUUGACUGACAGACACCCUUAAUGUAUGUAAUUCAUGGAAAACUACAGUCCCCACCUCACCCCCCUAAAAAAGCAAAACAUCUGAGUUAGGGGUGUGUCCGAUUGAAAUGGUUGAAGAGUGAAUGGUGGCUGGAAGGUGAGCAGUUAGAAGUGAUUGCAAAUUCCUUUCCAGUAUAUUGUCAAGAAGGAUAGGAUGGUGGCCUGACACCCAGCUCUGCUAUUUAUUCUGUUAUCUCUUACAGGUUAGUUUCCCUCUUUGAGUCUUAGUUUCUUGUCUGUAAAAUAAGGGUGAUAUUACCGGUCCUCCCUGCUUGUCAGUUUCUGUGAAGGCAGUUCAAAAUAAAGUAUGUCAACAUAGUUCCUAAACCCCACAGUCUCCCAAAAGUGAGUGAGUUGGUAAUCAGUAGAGUGUCCAGUGUAAUACAGGGCCAGGGCCGCUAGAAAUGCCGUUCAAAGCAGACCGCAUCUACAAAAUACCUUCACAGUAACAGCUAGAUUAGUGUUUGAUUAAAUAAUUGAAUUAAAUAAUAAUAAUUAAUAAUAGCCUAGCCAAGUUGACACAUAAAACUAACCCUCAUACCCCAGAAAGUCUUUGCUCAAAUAUUAUGUUUUCCUAACAUUUAAAAUUGCAGUCCUACACACGUGUACAUCUUCCCUAAUAUUCUCUCUCCCCGUUCCCCUAGCCUGUUUUCCUUUAGCAUUUAUUAUCUUUGAGCCAUCCCUGUAUUUCUUAUCUCUAUGUUUAUUGUCUUUUUGCCUUCUCUGGAAUGUUAGCUCCACGUGGGCGGGGCAUUUUUGUCAAUGUUGUGAACCGAUGAAUCCUCAGCACCCAGCACAGCAUCUAGCACACAGUGGGUCAGCACCCAGCACAGCAUCUAGCACACAGUGGGCUCCUAAGAAACCUUUGCAAAUCACCGAAUGAAGCAUUAAUGUGAGCACUCAGUAAAUAUUUUUUCAAAUGAAUUUAGAGCUGGAGUUCAUCAUGAGAUAUUCCUGAACAGCCUCAGUAGGAGAGAAGUAGGAAAAGGGUAGAAGGAUGGCAGAUUAUAGGAAAAAAGAGAAAAUUUUCAGAGUUUGACAUCUAAGAAGUCGAAGAUUUAGUGAAGAAGGAGCACAGACUUGGGUGUUAAGUUCCCUUUACCCCUUAGCUGUGUAACUUUGGACAGGUUGUCUAAUCUCCUUGAACCUCAGUUUCUUCGUCUGUAAACUGGAAAUAGUAAUACUUAUCAUGUAGGGUUGUACCAGGGGUGACAAGUUGAUGCGUUUAAUGGGCUUAGCAUAGGGCCUGGCCCACAGUGAGUGUUUAUUAAGAGGUGGCUGUUGCCAUCACCAUCAUCAUCAUCAUUAUUCAGUAUCAAAGUGGGGAAAUUUAUAAGAAAUCAUUGAAGUGUACUAAAAGUAAAAUUUUGAGGAUUUCAGUCUAGCCUGUGAAGUUGGGAUGUUAAAAUCUGAAACAAUGUUAAUACACAAGUUUGGUUUGUACAGAGUGUCAGGGCAUAGUCACUUUUGUGCCAGGUCCUUUUAUUUUGUUUCAAAACAGAAUGAAAAUCUUUUCAGCAUAUAUAGCCCAUAAAACACAGUAAUUGACAUCAAAUCCUUCAGUUUGCCCCAAGCUGCCACUUAAAGUGCAGAGUUAGUUGGUUCCAGGUCAGAGGUGCCAUUCAUUUAUUUUCAACUGAUACAUGAGACAAAAAGUGCAGUCUUCACUGCUGAUGUUCUGCUCACCAGGAUUCUUUUGUUAUCUCCUGAGGUUGUUGCUUUGGACAACAAGAGAGAUGUUAGGUUCCAGCAAAGCUCCACAAAGACACUGACUCAACUCCACCAGAAGUAUAACCUGUCACCAUAAGUAAAACUGAAAGGAUACACCUUAUCACCAUACUAUAUAUAUAUAUACUGUAUACUAUAGUAUAUACCUUAUCACCAUAAGUAUAGCUGAAAGGUUUCCUGAAAGAUCCAAAGAAAUAUACACUCACAGAACCCUCGAUAUGUCGCGUUGCUUGCAUAUCAAUAUCAUUUCUGGUGUUCUAACAGAACUUUUAGGAUUGGUCCCCUCUGAUAAAUGGUAAUUUUCCUGAUAUGUGGGUUGUGUGUUUAUUUGAAAAAUGCUAAUUCUGGAAAAGUGUGAACCUGGUCAUUCUCCAUGGCAUUAUGCCCAGUUUUAACUUCUUGAGAGGAGACAUUUGUAGUUAGGAAGAAAAGUAGAUUUAAUGUAGAGGAAAGAUGAAGGCCGGAUGUUUGAGGUUUUUCUUCUGGUCUUUCUGUUUCCUGUAGUAUCUGAAUAUAGCUAGUUACAAUAUUUCAUGUUUAUUUAAGAAGUGGGCAGAUUGUGAAAAAAUAGCUGCAGUGUUCUGAGUUAUGAUCUUGUUUCUUGGUUUCUGUUUUGCUCUGUUGUUAUGAGAAAUAAAUGGGAGGGAGAGCCAUAGUUUAAGAAUGAUAGAUUCUUCCAGCAGUUCUUUUUUGACUCAAGGCCAUUUCCUCACAGAGGGCUGUGGAAUGUGUAGUAACAUUCUUCAGAGUGUCAUUCAAUUCAGGAUGGAUGGACUUUGUGGAGAACAGCAGUCACUGUGAACUUACUUCAGGAUUACAAGAUAUUUUCUUACCUAAAUGUUAGAGAUGGAAUCAUGAAAGUACCACUGUUCUGUGCUCUGUUUCCCGAAUGGAAAAAAUACUGAUUUAAAUUGAAUUAGUCCUUGUUCUUCUGUGUAUUUAUUAGGCAUGCUUAUAAUAAAGAAUUAAAACAAUACUUUCCAAUUUAUUAUUUAUUUAUUUAUUUUUUUUUGAGGCAGAGUCUCACUUUGUCACCCAGGCUGGAGUGCAGUGGUGCAAUCAUGGCUCACUUCAGCCUUGACCUCUGGGCUUAAGUAAUCCUUCUGUUUCAGCCUCCCAAGUAGCUGGGACCCACAGGUGUGUGCCACCAUGCCUAGCUAAUUUUUUAUUUUUAUCUUUUGUAGAGGUGGAGUCUUGCUGUGUUGUCCAGGCUAGUCUUGGCCUGGCCUCAAGUGAUCCUCCCACCUUGGCCUCCCAAAGUGCUGGGAGUACAGACAUGGGCCACUGUGCUCAGCCCAAAUUUAUUAUUUUCAAAUUAAAGAUGUACCUAAUUGAUGUCCUGUCCAAAGCAUUAAAAUAUCUUGAUAAAUCCUUUCCUAAUAGGAAUAGCCCAGGAUAAAAUUGGGUAUGACUCUGCCCCUCACUCUUUUUGUUUUGAAGGUAGCAUGUCCGAGUCUACGUUCUUUCUGAUAAUGAAUGCAUCUGGCAGAGAUGGAAGCCUUAUCUUCUGUUGUUAACAUUGUUUCACAGCCUCAGAUCAGUCACUGCACAGCCCCAGGGGGGCCUACACAUCAAAUUGUGAUUUUUUCGAGGAGGAGGCCAUGAUCUGAGGAUUACUGGGACUAACAGGACUUCAGCUGGGGCUUCAUCGUGUGGUGUGGGCUUCCUGACAGCACGGCCACUGGUUUCCAAGAGUUUCAACAAUAUUUUCAUCAUAUUUAUUGAAGCCCUCACUGACAGACUUCUCAAGGCCCCUCUACCUUCUAUUUGCUGCCUGGCCCCAAAGCCAGUGCCGCACAUUUUAGGUUUUUAACUGCAGCAGCACCUAUGAUGUUUCCAAAAUCUGUAUCAUUAAAGUUUGAUCAGAGAAGCAAAACCACCUUGAGCAAAACAAGGAAUUUAUUAAAGAGAUUAGGAUACACAUUGUUAUGAAAGCUGCAACCUGCUGCCCCUGUGUCCAGAAGUGGGCCUGAAGUCAGCAGGGCUGGCAAAUGGAUGUGCAGUGGGAGAGGGUAGGCGUGUGCACCCAUCCUGCAGGGAGGAGAUGGAACUCCUGUGGAUGGACUGAAACUGAUGUCUUCCACGUCAGCCUCUCAGGCCUCCAACACUCCAGCUCUGAUGAUGAAGAUGACCUGCAGAGGAGCUGGUGCCCUUCACCAUGGAAUUGCUCAUAAACCCAAGAUUCAGUGAAGCUGAAGAAACAGUUCCGGUGGGAGCUGGAGGAACUGCAGGCACAGCUGCUGCCCUGUACCAAUACAUUGAGCCAGUGGCUGCCUGGCAUUGUGUGUGAGCCACCACAGCGCCUGGCCCUACACAGACUUUGACUGUAAAUAUGACUGCUGUUUCACUUCUGCCUUCCAAAUUUUGCUCAGAUUUUCUGAGAAACAUAGUUCAGCUUAGGUACAUUGACACAGUACAAAGCCACCGCAGUGGCUGGUUAGGGAGGGAUUAUGAAUGCAGGCUGAGAAUGCACGGGAAGCGUUUGUCUAUUUAUAGAGUAGGUACCAUUCAAGGAUUUAUGUGAAUCAGGUGCAAAGAACUCACACAAAGGUGGGGAAAGUUAGUACUUAGAAAUCAGUGAUACUAGAUAACCAAUAAAUAAAAAUAAACUUA